rnacentral:rRNA from 1 species
UGCAGAAUCCCGUGAACCAUCGAGUCUUUGAACGCAAGUUGCGCCCGAGGUCAUUAGGCCAAGGGCACGUCUGGCUGGGUGUCA